GACGAACGCUGGCGGCGUGCUUAAAAAAUGCAAGUCGAACGGAAAGACCCGGUUUUUGUGGGGUGUCCGAUUGCCGAAGGGGGGAGAAAAACGUGAGUAACCGCCCCUUGCCUUUGGGAUAACUUAAGGAAACUGGGGCAAAACCCGGAUAGAAGCUCUUGCGCCAGGGGGGGGGUUGGAAAGUUUCGGCGGUUGGGGUUGGACUCGCGGCUUAUCAGCUUGUUGGUGGGGUAGUGGCUUACCAAGGCUUUGACGGGUAGCCGGCCUGAGAGGGUGACCGGCCACAUUGGGACUGAGAUACGGCCCAGACUCCUACGGGAGGCAGCAGUGGGGAAUAUUGCACAAUGGGCGGAAGCCUGAUGCAGCAACGCCGCGUGCGGGAUGACGGCCUUCGGGUUGUAAACCGCUUUCGCCUGUGACGAAGCGUGAGUGACGGUAAUGGGUAAAGAAGCACCGGCUAACUACGUG
rnacentral:rRNA from 1 species